ensembl:lncRNA
UAGAAAAGCUUUAAGGUACUAUAAGCAGAGCUUGAUAACACAAUUCUAGUGGGAGCUCAGAAGUCAAGAAUGUUGAUAAGAAUGCAGACAAUAAAGGUAAGACUCACAAGUUUUCAGAUGGGAAAGAGAAGCCUUUUUUAGCUGGACUAGAAGCCAUGUGUGUUUCAUUCUGAUGAAGAAUUUGUCUACAUUUUCUCCAUGUCCCAGAACUAUGAGGCUGAAUUUAAAGGUGGCAGACUAAUUGAUCUGGUGGAGAAAAUUUCAAGGCAGCCAAAUAUUGAGGCUGUGGUAUGGGUAAUCCUGGCUGCUUUUAGCCACAUUUUAGUAAGAAUCAGGCAAAAAGUAGAGCUGAGAGAUGUUAAAAGUUUAUAGUUUCACCAGAAAGGUAACUCCUGUAAAGUUGGUGCCAAGGAGAGCCUGGCUACUGAAAAGGUUAGCAUCUAAACAAAGCCAUUACUUUGAAUCAGGACAAUAGGAAAGAUGGCUUGAAGUCAUCUCAGGAACUGUUCAGGCUCCUAAUCUUUGCAGGCUCAAGUUUAUAAAAGGGUAAAACUCCUUUGAAAAACUUCACUUUGAAAGAGAGCUUUAGAUGCCCUGCUCAUUCAGGGCCACUUAUGGAAAUGCUUCCCUGAUUUCAGCCAUCCAGGCAUUCAGAGAGUGCUUCAGCCAUGAUCUAAGGGGCACAUGAUACUUCUCAAACUGGUGGCAGACCUUGGUAUCAUCUAUGUGGUACUGGUUUUUCAGGCAUGCAAAAUGCAAGAGUUGUGGAGUUAAGAGGCUUCCACUCAGAUUUCAGUAGAAAGCCUAGGAGACCAGGCAAAAAAGUGUGAAAGGAUCAGUCUCUGCCUGGUGCCCCUGAGAGGGCAAUCCUGAAGAUGUGGAAGUGAAGCAAACACUCCAUUGGUGACCCCAGGAGGUUGUAGAUGCCAGGAACAUGGAAUGUCUGCUGAGGAAAGCUGCAGGCAGUAAGCAGAGCCAGCCUGAGAAAGGUCAUGUGGGCUGCAACUGGCAAUGCCAUAAGGAGCAAAGCCAUUGAAGCCUUUUGGUACAUUUUGCCACAACUUGCCUUGACUGCUGGAUAUGUAACUAUAAGAUCUAAUGUUUUUCUCUGCUAGGUUUCAGUCUUGCCUUGGUCUAAUUCCUUCCUAACCCCUAAUAUUGUUCUUUUGGAAUGGGAAUGUGUAUUAGUCAGUGCUUGCUAGAGAAAUAGGUUUAUUGCAAGAUAUACAAAUAUAUAAGAAUUUACAAGAUUGGAUUACAUGACUUCCCACAGAGUCAGAUGUGGAAGAAUGCAAAAGGGCUGUCUGGGUGCUGGAGAUCAGAAGGAUCCAGUCGAAGGCCUGGAGCCAUAUGCAACCAUAUCAGAAGGCCAAAGGGCCUGUGAUAGAAGGUUAAAUUCUGUACCGGAAGGCUGAAGAGUACACUUGAAGCCAGGAGAUGAUGUCCAAAGUGAAGGUGAAGACUGGAGCGCUUCCAAAGAAACAGAAGCCCUGCCUUCUCUGUCAGCUUCCUGGCUACCAUAGGUUGAACUGCUUUCCUCCACCAUGCCCUUCCACCAUACUGCUUUUGCCUUGGAGCCACCCAACACUGCCUGAAUAUCCCAAAACCAAGAGCCUAAUUAAACCUUUCCUCCUUUAAAUUGUGGAUGUGGGAUAUUUUGUCCAAGCAACUGGGAAAGCUUACUGAUACACAUAGU